rnacentral:rRNA from 1 species
CCUACGGGAGGCAGCAGUGGGGAAUAUUGGGCAAUGGGCGCAAGCCUGACCCAGCAACGCCGCGUGAAGGAAGAAGGCUUUCGGGUUGUAAACUUCUUUUGACAGGGAAGAGCAGAAGACGGUACCUGUCGAAUAAGCCACGGCUAACUACGUGCCAGCAGCAGCGGUAAUACGUAGGUGGCAAGCGUUGUCCGGAUUUACUGGGGGUAAAGGGCGUGUAGCCGGGCUGACAAGUCAGAUGUGAAAUCCGGGGGCUCAACCCCCGAACUGCAUUUGAAACUGUUGGUCUUGAGUAUCGGAGAGGCAGGCGGAAUUCCUAGUGUAGCGGUGAAAUGCGUAGAUAUUAGGAGGAACACCAGUGGCGAAGGCGGCCUGCUGGACGACAACUGACGGUGAGGCGCGAAAGCGUGGGGAGCAAACAGGAUUAGAUACCCGUGUAGUC